ACAGCCUGACGCGGGGUUCAAACCCACACACUGCAAGAUCGUGACCUGAGCUAAAGAAGUCGGACACUUAACCGAUUGAGCCACGCAGGUGCCCCUGUGACAAAAUAUUUUAAGUUGUUCAAUAAAUAACUAUGUGAGCUUCUGAAAUUACAAACGCGUGUAUUACAGGGUCUUGUUCCCAAAGAGCCCCUCCAAGUGGCUAUUUCAAAGGGUGUCCAGAGAAACACAAAGCGGGGACUGAUGGCAGGAUUCCUAAACUCAAGUCCUUCCCUAAGUGUCCAAAUUCUGGGUGGGAGUAGGGUCAUCACCUGUAAAUGUCUAGGCGUCUCGUCACCGCACCUCUUUCUCUGGCACUCACGUCUCAACUGGUGGCCGUGCAAUGGACUUACGUAAUCACAGGAGCCACACUGGUGGCACAAACAGGUUGGAGGAUAAUCAGGACGGCGAGGGCUGAGGUGAACGUCGCCGCUGCAGGUGGAACUCAGGUGUGCCCGUGCAGCCGGCGAGCCUCAAGUGGCGAACGUAUUAAUCAUGUCCUUCUAUGUUGUUUUCUGAGACUCUGAUAUCUAGGGCCUCGUUGACCCUGGAGACCGCUGCUCCCAGAGCCGGCCAGUUCCUAGAGAGAGGAACUGAUUCACUGUGAGCACGCCUUGCACGCACAAAGCCGCGGACCCAGAGCCCACGCCCCCGCCACCUUCUCCAGCGGCACCCACACUCAGGACCACUGUCUCCUGCCCUCCUCACCCCAGGGCCAGGUACCAGAAAACUAGGUUUUCUGCACCCCAGAGCCCAAUGAAAUUAACCAAACUGCGGACCCUGCCUUUCCCGUUCUUCCCCGUGAAAACCACGAUAAAGGCUGCUGCCUGUGCUUCUCCCCGCCCUCCGCCUCCUGAUGGACCCUGGUCUCGGCUGUGUGGCCUCCCAGCGUGUGGCACGGUGCGCCCCCUCCUCUUGGGAUCGUGAAAACCUACAACAUUAUUGCACGAGUCAGAGAGAUCGGAAGGUGUUAAAGCUGUCACUGGCAUUCGGCCGUCAUGCCUCACGCAGAGGGGACCAAAAGGCAACGAGACCAAGUUCCUCACACGACUUCAAUUUAAAUUAAACUUCCUUUAAUGAAAUAAAAAACAAACGGUGCAUUGCAUAAUAUCUGUGGUCACAGUAUAAAACAAUACAAUUAGUUCAUGUAACAUCGGGUAUGGA